rnacentral:ncRNA from 1 species
CCUGUCGUCGACAGGUCAUCGGAAUGUGGUCCCUCGGGACUGAACCGGCAA